GCACAGCCUCCAGCGUGCGAGCAAGGUGUGAGCGUGGGGACAGCAUGCCAAGGAGCCCCCGGCAGGGGAAGGACUGGGGGAAGCUGGAGGGGAGAAAAGAGGGAAGGCAAGGAAGAGAAAUAGGUCGGAGGGAUGAAAGUCCAGGUUUGCUUGGAGCAGGAAUGCUGCCUGAGCGGCCGGUGGGUGCAGCGUGCUGCCUCUGUCCGGGUCAGGAGCAGGGAGGGAGCCUUCCUUCCCAUUGGAAAUGUGAUUUUAGGUACUUUCUGCUUUCCCUGGUGCCCACCUUUCACUGUGUCCUCUCUUGCCUGGAUCACCAAGGGCAGCUCAGUGCCUUUGUUAGUGAAUAACAGAGGGGCAGGCUUCUCUUCAGGAGCUUGGGACUUCUGGGUCCCCUUCACACCUAAGUGAUCUGCCUAAUUGGCUUGGCUUUUCCUCCUCCUCUCUUGCUCUCUGUGAGUUUCCCAUGACCUGUGGGCCUGCUUUUAGCAGGGGCUGGAGCAUGGGGAAAGGCAGCCGCCGUG